AGUCCACGGUGAGGGCAUCUUCUGAAGAGGUCCUUGUAUCUCUCCCAUGCAUCAUAGAGUGUCUCUAGAUCCAUCUGCAUAAAAGAAGAGAUAUCAUUCCUCAAUUU
rfam:Gossypium arboreum cultivar AKA8401 contig_1612_7, whole genome shotgun sequence.